UACGUAGGGUGCAAGCGUUGUCCGGAAUUAUUGGGCGUAAAGGGCUCGUAGGCGGUUUGUCGCGUCGGGAGUGAAAACUCAGGGCUCAACCUGAGCGUGCUUCCGAUACGGGCAGACAGAGGUAUGCAGGGGAGAACGGAAUUCCUGGUGGUAGCGGGUGGAAAUGCGCAGAUAUCAAGGAGGAACACCGGUGGCGAAGGCGGGUUCUCUGGGCAUUACCUACGCUGAGGAGCGAAAGCAUGGGGAGCGAACAGG
rnacentral:rRNA from 1 species